AUGGCUUGUUGGCUGAGCUGGCUUCUGCUGGUGGCUGUGUUAGGAGGAUUCCAAUGUGAGGUGCAGCUGGUGGAGUCUGAGGGAGACUUGGUGCAGCCGGGGGAUCGCUGACACUCUCCUGUGCAGCCUCUGGAUUCAAUUUUGGCAGCUACUAUAUGAGCUGGGUCCGACAGGCUCCAGGGAAGGGCCUAGAGUGGGUCUCACGCAUUACUAAUGAUGGCCAUAUAUACUAUGCGGACUCUGUGAAGGGACGAUUCACCAUCUCCAGAGACAAUAGCAAGAACACUGUCUCUCUGCAAAUGAGCCUCCUGAGGGAGAAGGACAUGGCCCUGUACUACUGUGCAAGAGACACAGUGAGAGUCCGAAAAGUAUUCUGGAGUGUGGAGGCUGCUGGGUAG